rnacentral:lncRNA from 1 species
AUUUCCUAAGAAAAAUGUUGAUUGCCAUCAUGCUUAGUUAGGGCAGAGAAUCAUUUCCCCAUUAAAGAAGUACGGACAGGAUCAAGCUCAACAAAGAAACCAUAAACACAUAAAUUCCUGCAACCUUAAAUGCUGAUGACGUAUAGCAGCAUGCAAAUAUAGAGAAACAAAAUCAGACCUUGUAAGCCCAACAAUUGUGAGUGGCACGGGGCUCACGGACCUGCUCGGCAGAAUCCCAUCAAAAUAAAUAAGUUAUAAUUAAAAAAAAUGCGUCUCGAAGUUAAAACAAAAAAACAAAAAAUGACGAAAUGGUUGGGGAAAUUGACCUCAGCAAUGAAGAGGUGACAAGUGAGCGGCAGCGGCAUGUGCUGCCGCUCAUAAAUUAAGCAACUUCUUUUCAUAAAGUAGUGUUCAAUAUUCUCAAAAAAAAAAAAAGCAGUCUUCAAUUCAGAAUAACCAAGAACAAAACGAUGAACUGAAACAAGAAAAAAAAACUAGCGAAAAUUCAAACCAUAAAUCCCUAAAAUUCGAGUCCAAAAUGCCCUAAAAUUUGCUACCUAAUGCACUCUUCAAUUUCAUUUAGUUGUUACCUGAAGAAUGAGGGCGACUGUUGUC